rnacentral:misc_RNA from 1 species
UCCGGUUUGUCACCGGCAGUCUCCUUAGAGUUCCCACCAUUACGUGCUGGCAACUAAGGACAAGGGUUGCGCUCGUUGCGGGACUUAACCCAACAUCUCACGACACGAGCUGACGACAGCCAUGCAGCACCUGUGUACUGGUUCCCUUUCGGGCACUCCCUGAUCUCUCGAGGAUUCCAGCCAUGUCAAGGGUAGGUAAGGUUUUUCGCGUUGCAUCGAAUUAAUCCACAUCAUCCACCGCUUGUGCGGGUCCCCGUCAAUUCCUUUGAGUUUUAAUCUUGCGACCGUACUCCCCAGGCGGUCUACUUCACGCGUUAGCUGCGUUACCAAGUCAAUUAAGACCCGACAACUAGUAGACAUCGUUUAGGGCGUGGACUAC